rnacentral:rRNA from 1 species
AUUGAACGCUGGCGGCAUGCCUUACACAUGCAAGUCGAACGGCAGCACGGGUGCUUGCACCUGGUGGCGAGUGGCGAACGGGUGAGUAAUACAUCGGAACAUGUCCUGUAGUGGGGGAUAGCCCGGCGAAAGCCGGAUUAAUACCGCAUACGAUCCACGGAUGAAAGCGGGGGCCCUUCGGGCCUCGCGCUAUAGGGUUGGCCGAUGGCUGAUUAGCUAGUUGGUGGGGUAAAGGCCUACCAAGGCGACGAUCAGUAGCUGGUCUGAGAGGACGACCAGCCACACUGGGACUGAGACACGGCCCAGACUCCUACGGGAGGCAGCAGUGGGGAAUUUUGGACAAUGGGCGAAAGCCUGAUCCAGCAAUGCCGCGUGUGUGAAGAAGGCCUUCGGGUUGUAAAGCACUUUUGUCCGGAAAGAAAUCCUUGGCUCUAAAACAGUCGGGGGAUGACGGUACCGGAAGAAUAAGCACCGGCUAACUACGUG